UACGUAGGGGGCAAGCGUUGUCCGGAUUUAUUGGGCGUAAAGCGCUCGCAGGUGGUCCGUCGCGUCGUGCGUGAAAGACCCCGGCUCAACUGGGGGGGGUCGUGCGAUACGGGCGGACUGGAGGCCAGUAGGGGGAUGCGGAAUUCCGGGUGUAGUGGUGGAAUGCGUAGAGAUCCGGAGGAACACCAGCGGCGAAGGCGGCAUCCUGGACUGGGCCUGACACUCAGGAGCGAAAGCGUGGGGAGCGAGCCGG
rnacentral:rRNA from 1 species